AGCAUAUAGAGGUUCCCAAGCGAAGGGUUGAAUCGGAGCUGCAAGUGUCGACCUACACCACAGCCACAGCCACAGCAAUGCCAGAUCCGAGCCACGUCUGUGACCUACACCACAGCCCAUGGCAACGCCGGUGGAUCCUUAACCCACUGAGCGAGGCCAGGGAUCGAACCUGGGUCCUCAGGGAUACUAGUUGGGUUCUUAAUCUGCUGAGCCACAACGGGAACUCCUUUCUCUAUGAGGCUUAGGUGGCGUCCCCAUCCCUGGUGCCCAGCAUGGCACCUGGUGCUCAGAGGGGACAGCUCUGAAUAAGUGAAUAAAUGAAUGAUGCCUGAUUGGAUACAAGGCAACGGGGGGGCGGGGAGCACUGCCUCAGCAGGGGGGCCGGGUGAGAAACCAGAUGGGGGAAGGACUCUGGAAGCUUCUCAGGGGGAGGGGGUCCUCCUGUAGGGGAGCUGGAGUUGGAAGCCCUCCCCCAGCUUGGGGCCUGGGGCAGCAGAGGUGACCACAGGUCGAUCUGGCCAAGCAGCCUGUGUCUCCUCACUUAGCCUUUGAAUUUCUAAAGCUUGACUUGGCGCCAAGAAUCACUGAGCUCCCAGGAGCGGAGCCUGGAGUCUGUCUGACCCUCUUCCUGUCCCCCUGCCCCCAGCAGAUGCCUGUGAAAAUCAAAAUCAAGAUAGGCUCCUCCGGAGUUCCUGACGUGGCUCAGUGGUUAACGAAUCCGACCAGGAACCAUAAGAUUGCGGGUUCGAUCCCUGGCCUCGCUCUGUGGGUUAAGGAUCCGGCAUUGCUGUGACUCUGGUGUAGGCCGGCGGCUGUAGCUCUGAUUGGACCCCUAGCCUGGGAACCUCCAUAUGCCGUGGCAGUGGCCCUAAANNNNNNNNNNNNNNNNNNNNNNNNNNNNNNNNNNNNNNNNNNNNNNNNNNNNNNNNNNNNNNNNNNNNNNNNNNNNNNNNNNNNNNNNNNGUCGCCUGCAGCUGCCGCUGGGCGCCCAUCGGGCAGGCUUGAGCCUCUUCCCUGCUUCGAUCCCUCACUGCCGCCUUAAGGGGCCCCCCAGGAACGGUGAGGAGCAAAGGCCUCCUUCUUGCCCCACCUGUUGGGACGGGUCCUACUGACGGGGGGUGGGGGCGGGGGGCUCACAGGGACCCCUUCAUCAGGCCCCCUUGUCUCCCGCUCCUCCAAACUCCUGGAGCGUGUGCCCUCCAGGUGAUACAACCCGCACCUUGCCGGCCUCCACAGGGCCAGGCCUUGACAUUCUGGAACCUUCCUUUCCUGGUCGAGGCCCAUGAGCAGUCCUGAUAGUCUGACCGGUGGCCUAGACAGCCAUGCCUGCUUCUCGGAGGCCCCACGGCCCCCACCUUUUCCCAGCCCCUGCUUGCUGGUGUGGGGUCCCUUCCUGGAGGCAGGUGGGUUGGCCACUGCAGAUCAGGCAGCCUCCUGGGCUGGGGUAGGAGCCGGGGGCCAGGUGGCCUGGGUCCAAACCCACCUGCUGCUGGUGGCCCCUGACUUCUCUCUACCUCCAUUUUCUCCCAGCACUGAGUGUGGGUGAAAGCCUAGAACGUUCCAUGCAGCCCCAGGAUCCCGUUAUCUGGAAGGUGUGGCAAAUGUCACAGGCCCCUGCCCGAGAUUGACCCAGGGAGGGGACUGCUCGAGCACAGGUUUGCCAAGUGGCAGGCACCUCGGAGGCCUUCUCUUCCCUGGGAACGGAGGCGGCUUGGCCCCCGAAGCUUCGGGAAGGGCCCUCAUCUCUUCUUACGCCAUGGAGCCAACGUCACUGUCAGUUCACCAAGAGGGUUCUGCUUCCCCUUUUUGAGGAGCCUUGAUCUAAGCCCGAGCCCACUUCCCUAAAGGAAGCGAGCCAGUGGGGCCCCCGUGGAGCACUCAGAGCGUCCUGGCCUUGAGCCAAACCCACAGACGCUUGGCUGGUGACCCGGCCAGUUCUUCUAAUCCUCAGGCAGUUGCAGGGCCUCCCGGUUCGGGACACUUCCCCUUAGACAUCCCCUCCAAGUCCCCCCGCUUUCUCAGCGCCCUUGGGGUCUGUGCCAUCAUGAACCCCUCUGGCUGCCCCUGUCCUGACCAGCCAGCUUUUCCUGUCUCUUCCUGAAUCCCCAAGUCUGGCAUACAGGUCGUCACUGAGUGCUGGCCAGGUAUACAGCAGGUGCUCCAUGAAUGCACAUAGGGAACCACAGAAGGUAGAGGCAUUUGGAAAACUGAUCCUUGGGGGGGGGGGGGGCUGCAGUCACACAAUACCUUCCAGCAAAGUGGGAGGAAGGUGAAAAAAAACGGUCCCCAAGGGCCCUGGGCUAGGGGCUAAUUUGUUUUGGCCUCUUGGUCCCUGGCCUUGGGGCAGGGGUCCUGACCACAUGCAGCUCCAGAUUAGCCGGGGUCCCACCCACUUCUGCUUUCACUGGGUGUCACCACAAACCACCCAGCCGGCCUUCCUCUUAUCAGCAACUGUCACGCCCAGAGGGCUGCGGUGGCUUUGUUUUCUCAUCCUUCCCUCCAGGGAGCCCUGAUAAGGAGGCCAACCUUUACCCUCCGCUGCUUCCCUGCUGGCCUGGAAAAGCUUCCCUGUUAACUGAGGGAUGGGGCCUGGGGCUUCUGGAAUAACUCCACAGACCCACCCCAGCCCGGCAGAGCAGAGAAGGAAGCAGGGAGGACCGGGUUCCCCAUUCGGCAGAACCCCACACCCCAGGACACCUCGCAGGGGCCCCAGGAGGCCAGGAUGGGGGCCUGCCAGGGGUGGGCUGGGCGACGAGCCAGGUGCGACAGCUGGUGGGCCUCCACGAGGAAGCCCGUUUGCACGACCAGCUCGCUUGCUGGUUUAUAAUCUUGGCACCAUCAGAUAGGAACCGUGGAGUCAGCCAGCAGCACAGAGGGCAAAGCUUCGCUCGGCCACUGCCCCACCUCCAUCUCAACGGCAGCUCUCUUCCUUGUCGGGCACCUGGAGCGCUUGGGGGCAGAGGCCACGUCUCAGGUCUGGACUGGCACCAGGGAGAAGCCUCGUCCAGGGAGCUGCCCAGAGCAGUGUGGGCUGCGUGCAGAAGUCCUGUCCUGUCAGCCUGGCUCUCUGGGUCACGGCCCCCAGCUCUCCAUUCAGAACAGCCCCGAGUGGGUGUCCAUCAGCCAAAGAACAGAUCAACAACUGUGCUGAUGGCAUGAAUCUCAGCGACCUGGAUGCAUGUCACAGACAGCAUGUCAUGCAGAGGCAGCCAGGCUGCAGGGCGCCUGCGGCACACAGCACUCCACUUACACAACGCCCCGGUGCAGGCGAGGCUCUGGAGGACACGCACGGGAAGAACCAAGGGCAGGCACUCGUGCAGAUGUGGGCACACACGCGUGUAUCACACCGCUCACAACAGCCCGAACACGGAAGCAACCCCAGUGCCCACCAACAGGUGGCUCAAUAACUAAAUGUGAAACACACACCCAAUGGAAUAUUAUUCAGCCUUAAAAAGCACUGAUGCCUGCUACGACGCAAUGAAUCUUGAGGACGCAGUGCUGAGUGAACAAGAGACAGAGAGAUCCUGUAGGAUUCUACUCACAGGAGCUCCCUAGAGGAGUCAGAUCCACAGAGACGGAGCAUAGAACAGCGGGUGUCAGGGGCUGCGGGGGCAGGUCGCUUGCUGGGGGUUGGUGUUUAGUGGGGACAGAGUUUCAGUUUAGGAAGAUGAAAAAUGUUCUGAGAAUUCCCGUCUUGGCGCAGCAGAAACGAAUCCGACUAGGAACCAUGAGGUCGUGGGUUCGAUCCCUGGCCUUGCUCAGUGGGUUAAGAAUCCAGCGUUGCUGUGGCUGUGGUGUAGGCUGGCAGCUGUAGCUCUGAUUUGACCCCGAGGCUGGGAACUUCCGUAUGCCGCGGGCGCAGCCCUAAAAAGACUUAAAAAAAAAAAAAAACCAAGAGAACGUUCUGGACAUGGCUGAGGUGAUGUCUAUAUAACACUGAACAGGUACUUAAUGCCAUGGACUGGAACACUGGAAAAUGGCUAAGAUGCUAAAUCUUAUGUUUUGUGUACUGAAAGGCAUGCCUUUCAAGAUGGAACUUUCUAGAUGGACAGCAAUGUUCUAUGCCUAGGCUGAGACGGCAGUUACACAGAUGUACAUAUGUGUCAAAAGCCAAAAAACAGAACUCUUUAAUUUUUUUAUGGCUGCACCUGCAGCAUAUGGAAGUUCUCAGGCCAGGGGUCAAGUUGGAGCUGCAGCUGAGGCCUAUGCCACAGCCAGAGCCACGCCAGAUCUGAGACCUAUGCAUCUGAGACCUAUGCUGCAGCCUGCAGCAACGCCGGAUCCUUAACCCUCUGAACGAGGCCAGGGAUCGAACCUGCAUCCUCACACAGACAACGUUCCAGUCCUUAACCCACUGAGCCACAAUGCGAACGCCAAAAAACAGAACUCUUUAGAUGGCUGUAUUUUAUUCAAUGCAAACUAAACUUCAAUAACGUUGAUUUUAUUAUUAUUAUUAUUAUUAGCCACACACAGAGCAUGUAGAAGUUCCCAAGCCAGUGAGCAAACGUGAGUCAGAGCAGUGACCCAUGACACAGCAGUGACAACACCAGGUCUUUAACCAGUAAGCCACCAGGGAACUCCCAAUAACGCUGAUUUUAAACACUAAAAAAAAACCCUUAGGCGUUCCCGUUGUGGCUUAGUGGAUAUCCAACCUGACUAGCAUCCAUGAGGACACAGGUUUGAUCCCUGGGCUCGAUCAGUGGGUUAAGGAUCUGGCACUGCCAUGAGCUGUGGUGUAAGGUCACAGACACGGCUCGGAUCAUGCAUUGCUGCGGCUGUGGUGUAGGCCGGCAGCUACAGCUCCAAUUCCCUAGCCUGGGAGCCUCCAUGUGCCUCGGGUGUGGCCCUAAAGACACAAAGAGAUAAAAACAAAACAAUUAAUCUCAAAUCACGUAUAUUUUUUACAAAUUGUUUUUAUGUGUCUGUAUUUAUAAUCUCUCCAUUACAAAAUAUAUGCAGGAAGAGAUUUUUAAGAGAUGAGAAAGAGUUUUGCAUAUUCUUCCUGAGUUGACGGGUUGCUGUGCCCCCACUCUGGAGGACAGGGGUCUUGGCAGUCUGGAGGAUGCGCCAGGCCUGGGGGGGCGCGGGAGAAGGAAGAGCUGGCGGGCGGGGGCUGGGUUAGGUACACGCGUGGCACGUUCUGCAGAGAAUCCCAAGGCCCUGCGGUCUACUGAUGACACCCUGAGACCAAGGUCGUGGGCACAGGACAUGCAGGGGGAGCGGUCUUGCGCCACAGNNNNNNNNNNNGUAAGAACGGAUGUGACCUCCCCCCCCCAAAUCAUGUGGGCAGAAAUCUCCAGAGUCCAGAGUCCCAGACCAGAGGAAUGGGGUGCAUCCUUCCUACCUUUCCCGGGGGGGCUCAGCCUCUGCCCUGGGUGGCAGCUGGAAGCAACGCGGGAGUGGGGGUGGGCACAUCCUAGAUAUGGGGGGGUGCCCAGCUUCAAGAUGCAGAGGCGGGAAGGGUACCCAGGUUCAAAGUGGACUCUGCCGUGGCUCAGCUCGUGGCCUUGGACACGUCCCCCUGCACCUCAGUUUCCCAUAUCAAGGGGGUGAUGAUAGGUCUGGGGGGGUGGUCUGGCAUCUUCAAGGGGCUCGGAGCCAACCACACACUCAGCACUACAGCUGUUACUAUGUCUGGACACGCCGCCCACUCCGACCCCAGCACGGCUCCCUUGGGCUCCCUGGGGCACCUCUCUGCGGCCCAAGUUCAAGUCCGUGGGCGGGUCCGUGUUUAUCUUUAAGUUGUCCUUUUCCUGCCCCAGCCCAGCACCUGGCCCCUCCCUGGGCCUAUUGUCUCAGGACCCAGGGCCAUCCGGUUGUCCUGGGGGAGAACAAGGGAGCCCCCCACCCCCAUUUCCUCACGAGGCUGGGACUCCAAGUCCCUGACCCAGCCCUUGACCGAAUAAACACAGGCGCACACAAAGGACAUCCCGGCACAGGGGGGGCGGGGUGGGGGGGGUCAGAGCUCCCAGAGCCGUGUGCUUAAGAGGCCACCAGGG
rnacentral:lncRNA from 1 species